GUGGCCUUGUUCUCCACCUUUUUCCUUUUUGUUCUGCUGACGCUGCCCGGCUCUCAUCAGCCUCCGGCCCGCUCUCUCCUUGAGACCGAGCAUCAUGCCUUCAAUUAAAUUGCAGAGUUCUGAUGGAGAGAUAUUUGAAGUUGAUGUUGAAAUUGCCAAACAAUCUGUGACUAUCAAGACCAUGUUAGAAGAUUUGGGAAUGGAUGAUGAAGGCGAUGAUGACCCAGUUCCUCUACCAAAUGUUAAUGCAGCAAUAUUACAAAAGCUCAUUCAGUGGUGCACCCACCACAGGGAUGACCCUCCUCCUCCUGAGGAUGAUGAGAACAAAGAAAAGCGAACAGAUGAUAUUCCUGUUUGGGACCAAGAAUUCCUCAAAGUUGACCAAGGAACACUAUUUGAACUAAUUCUGACUGUUGCCAAUAUGAUCAAGGGGAAAACCCCUGAAGAGAUUCGCAAGACCUUCAAUAUAAAAAAUGACUUUACUGAAGAAGAGGAAGCCCAGGUACGCAAAGAGAACCAGUGGUGUGAACAAAAGUGAAAAGUUGUGCCUGACACUGUAAACACUGUAAGGAUUGUUCCAAAUACUAGUUGCACUGCUCUGUUUAUAAUUGUUAAUAUUAGGCAAACAGUAGACAAAUGCAGCAGCACAUCAAUUGUAUUAGCAGAAUAUUGUCUUCAUUGCAUGUGUAGUUUGGGUACAGAUUCCAAACCUAUGGCUGAGUUUCUUCCAGUAUGAUCAAAAUAUCUUUUCUUUGCUCUGAAUAAAACUGAAUUGUGGGUUCUCUA